AAAAACCUACUAAAAUCAAAACAUACAAGUAACACAAAGGGAAUACUCUGUUGGAACCUAUUACCAAGUCCUCAUAACUAGGAUGAAGAACUGAUGGUAAGCAUUCUGGAAUCAGAAAGCAAAGGAACGGCUAGUAAAUUUGGAGAGAAAGCUUAGUAACAGAAUGAAGGGAACAGCAUAAAGGAUAGGCCCUUUCAGAAGAAUCUCUGGGUAAAAAUCAUUAAGCUAAGGAGACACGUGGAAAAAGCAGGUGGGCCAAAGGAAGACUCCCCUCCAUCACCAUUUUAUGAAAGAGGUCUGAGGUAGGGAGGAGAUUUCAUUUCAAACCACACACUCUUAAACAGUUCCCAAAACCCCAGCCAAAAAGAGAACGGUGGCCCUUUUGUUGGUCAGGUUCAUCUGCCCAGGAAACAGGUCACUAAGUAUGGUCCUUGGGGGUGUGGUCUCCAUGACUUACAAGCUGAUGAGGAGUUACCAAACCGCAGGGUGGAAUGGGAAACUCAGCCCAAAACAACUUGCCCUGGGCUCCGGGCCACGCCUGGGCUCUGCCGAGUCAUGCUCAGGCGCCUGCACUAAUGUGACCCCCUGUUUGUUCUCAACUCUGCACCUGCUCUCAGCUCCCCCUGCCUGUCUGCUGCUUGGGUGGGGCUCUCUCUGACUCAUGCCUGCACAGCAAAGGGGUGCUUUCCUGGGAAGGAGCAGGUCAAUCUUUUUAUGAAGACAAGCUGUAAUCAAUCAGCUGGGUAUAAGAUGGGGUUUUCACCCUUUCCAAGCUGCAUGAGCUCCAGCCACCCCUAGGAGGAGACAACAUAUCACGCAUCUCAAGACCUGGAGGGAGAAUGGCAAGCAGCUGAUUCAUCUCCAUUGCCUGUGAAACACUGCUACUCCACGUGUCACUUCUCACUCAGGGGUCCCCUCCUCACUCCUCCCUACUCAAGGGUAACCUCCAUCCUGAAUUUUGUGCUUAUCAUUCCCUUUUUUUUUCUUUAUAGUGUCAACAUGUUUUGUUCCUAAUACUGCUUUGUUUUGCAUGUCUUGAACUUUAUAUAAAUGGUAUCCCACUGUAUAUAUUCUUCACCAAUGGAUUUUUUUUUUAAAGAUUCAUCACUGUGUAUAAAGGUAAUCCACAGAGUGUAAUGAGUAUGCCACAAUUUAUUUCCCUUCUGUUGGUUCAAGCAAUUCUCCUGCCUCAGCCUCCAGAGUAGUUGGAAUUAUAGGCAUGCGCCACCAUGCCUGGCUAAUUUUUGUAUUUUUAGUAGACACAGGGUAUCACCAUGUUGGACCAGGCUGGUCUCAAACUCCUGACCUCAAGUGAUCUGCCCGCCUCGGCCUCCCAAAGUGUUGGCAUUACAGAUAUGAGCCACCACGCCUGGCCUCAUCAUGUUUUAGUCGGUUACACUAAACUGUUUUUUUCCAAUGAAGCUUUGUCCUGAGACAGUUUAUUCUAACACUUCAUCACUGGUAGGAAUAGAUGUAAUGUAUUAGAUCAUAUCUAUUAUUUUAAACUAUUAAAUUUUAAACUCGG
rnacentral:lncRNA from 10 species